rnacentral:tRNA from 9 species
UCCCCCGUGGUCCGUGUGGCUGGCCACUGAGACUCUGAAUCUCAGGUACGUAGGUUCGACUCCUGCCGGGGGAGC